UUAUGUGUAUAUAAAAAUUGUAUGUAGUUUCCUUUGGGGCGAUUCCAAUAUUUAACCAGCAAUAUUGACAUAUUUUUUAUUGUUGAUUUGCGUUUCGAAUUCGAACAGUUCAAAGUUGAUUUAUAAGUAUUUUUGGAGUUAAAUCAUAGCAGCAAAAAAGGUUUUCUUCAUUAUGGAGUCCUUGAAUUAUAUUACUACAUUUAUAAAUGUAUUAUUUUUCACAACUGCUUUUUCUGGUUGUAGUAGUGAUAUAUUUGUAAACAACAAGUUUUAUAUGCUAUCAACUGAUAACAAUGCAAUUGUACAUCCGUCUUAUAACAUUGAUAUACACAAAUAUAGCUUACACGGAUAUAUCUGUUUUAUAUCCGGUUUAAAUACAGUCCGAACUCAAUUUAAUAUAGAUGAUAAAGUAUUGUUUGAUUUAAAAGAAUAUAACCUAAGUAAUUCUGAUUUUUUAAAGUUAUUUACUUCCUCCUAUAUAGGUGGUGACUUUCCAUCAAUUAAUAUUAAAGCAUUAUCUUUUAAAGAUUUAAGAUCUAACGGCGACUUUAAACUUAAUAGCAGUACAUAUGAUUGUAUUAUUAACUAUCAUAGAUUUAUAAUGAAUUUUUGCUUCACAAAAUAUAUUGUCGGAUCUAGAUAUUCAUAUGAGUGCAAAAAACUUUUCGUUAAUUUUCCUUCUACAAAUGAUGGCAAAUAUUUUCAGGUUCUCACUAAUCGAUCAUCAGUUGAUAGUUGGUGUUGUCCCUAAAAUUUUUACUAGAAAUCAUUAUCAUUAAACUGUGAAAGUUUUUCUAAUAUUUGUGUAAGAACAAAGUUAUAAAACAAUUAUUUGUCAAUAAUUAAUAAUGCAAAAUAUUAUAAUAAAUAAAUGUAUUCACUAUUU